rnacentral:rRNA from 1 species
CCUACGGGCGACAGCAGUGAGGAAUAUUGGUCAAUGGGCGAGAGCCUGAACCAGCCAAGUCGCGUGAAGGAUGACGGCGCUACGGGUUGUAAACUUCUUUUGUCAGGGAGCAAUUGAGUCCACGUGUGGGCUUAGCGAGAGUACCUGCAGAAAAAGCAUCGGCAAACUCCGUGCCAGCAGCCGCGGUAUUACGGAGGAUGGGAGCGUUAUCCGGAUUUAAGGGGGUUAAAGGGUGCGUUGGAGGAAUAUCAAGUCAGCGGGAAAAAUUCGGGGCUCAACCCCGUCGUGCCGUUGAAACUGGUGAUCUUGAGGGGGCGAGAAGUAUGCGGAAUGCGUGGUGUAGCGGUGAAAUGCAUAGAUAUCACGCAGAACUCCGAUGGCGAAGGCAGCAUACCGGCGCCCAACUGACGCUGAAGAACGAAAGCGUGGGUAGCGAACAGGAUUAGAUACCCCUGUAGUC